AGAUUGAACGCUGGCGGCAUGCUUUACACAUGCAAGUCGAACGGUAACAGGCCGCAAGGUGCUGACGAGUGGCGAACGGGUGAGUAAUGUAUCGGAACGUGCCCAGUCGUGGGGGAUAACGCAGCGAAAGCUGCGCUAAUACCGCAUACGAUCUAUGGAUGAAAGCGGGGGACCGUAAGGCCUCGCGCGAUUGGAGCGGCCGAUAUCAGAUUAGGUAGUUGGUGGGGUAAAGGCUCACCAAGCCAACGAUCUGUAGCUGGUCUGAGAGGACGACCAGCCACACUGGGACUGAGACACGGCCCAGACUCCUACGGGAGGCAGCAGUGGGGAAUUUUGGACAAUGGGCGCAAGCCUGAUCCAGCAAAUGCCGCGUGCAAGGAAGAAAGGCCUCGGUUGUAAUGCCUUGUACGAACGAAACGUACUGGUUAAUACUGGUCGAAUAGACGAACCGUAAGAAUAAAGACAACCGGCGUAACUACGUACGCGACG
rnacentral:rRNA from 1 species